rnacentral:tRNA from 1 species
GGAGAGGUGGCUGAGUGGUCGAAAGCGGCAGAUUGCUAAUCUGUUAGGGGAUAUUAUCCUCUCGAGGGUUCGAAUCCCUCCCUCUCCA